CGCGGCCUAUCAGCUUGUUGGUGAGGUAAUGGCUCACCAAGGCGACGACGGGUAGCCGGCCUGAGAGGGCGACCGGCCACACUGGGACUGAGACACGGCCCAGACUCCUACGGGAGGCAGCAGUGGGGAAUAUUGGGCAAUGGAGGAAACUCUGACCCAGCGACGCCGCGUGCGGGAUGAAGGCCUUCGGGUUGUAAACCGCUUUCGGCAGGGAAGAAGCGAAAGUGACGGUACCUGCAGAAGAAGCACCGGCUAACUAUGUGCCAGCAGCCGCGGUAAUACAUAGGGUGCAAGCGUUGUCCGGAAUUAUUGGGCGUAAAGAGCUCGUAGGUGGUUCGUCACGUCGGAUGUGAAACUCUGGGGCUUAACCCCAGACCUGCAUUCGAUACGGGCGAGCUUGAGUAUGGUAGGGGAGCCUGGAAUUCCUGGUGUAGCGGUGGAAUGCGCAGAUAUCAGGAGGAACACCAAUGGCGAAGGCAGGACUCUGGGCCAUUACUGACACUGAGGAGCGAAAGCGUGGGGAGCGAACAGGAUUAGAUACCCUGGUAGUCCACGCCGUAAACGGUGGGCACUAGUUGUGGGGACCUUCCACGGUCUCUGCGACGCAGCUAACGCAUUAAGUGCCCCGCCUGGGGAGUACG
rnacentral:rRNA from 1 species